GGGGGUGUAGCUCAAAUGGUAGAGCGCUCGCUUCGCAUGCGAGAGGCAUCGGGAUCGACGCCCGACUCCUCCA